rnacentral:tRNA from 1 species
GGAUCCGUAGCUCAGAUGGCAGAGCGCCUGCUCGACGCGCAGGUGGUCGCAGGUUCGAGCCCUGCCGGACCCA